ensembl:lncRNA
CAGCUCUCCAAUUAGCCAUGGAGUCGACCAAUCAGCUGCUUGAGGGAUUUCAGGAAGCCAUUUCCUGAAAUAAACACAUGCAAAUACACAAACUAGAGAGAAGAGAGAAGAGAGAGGGGUGAGGUAUGGUGUGAGAGAAGAGAGAGGGGUGAGGUAUGGUGUGAGAGAAGAGAGAAGAGAGAGGGUGAGGUAUGGUGUGAGAGAAGAGAGAGGGGUGAGGUAUGGUGUGAGAGAAGAGAGAGGGGUGAGGUAUGGUGUGAGAGAAGAGAGAGGGGUGAGGUAUGGUGUGAGAGCAGAGAGAGGGGUGAGGUAUGGUGUGAGAGCAGAGAGAAGAGAGAGGUGUGAGGUAUUGUGUGAGAGCAGAGAGAAGAGAGAGGGGUGAGGUAUUGUGUGAGAGCAGAGAGAGGGGUGAGGUAUGGUGUGAGAGCAGAGAGAGGGUGAGGUAUGGUGUGAGAGCAGAGAGAGGGGUGAGGUAUGGUGUGAGAGCAGAG